UUUAAUUUGAGCCAUGCAGAACUACUGCACAGGACACUGACAGAGUGCCCAACUCCAGGAUCGGAUAUCAUUAGAUAUGAAGCUUCCCACAAUAAUAACAUAAGAACUUGUUUGUCACUUCCACCUCUUCCAUAACUUCACCUUUCUUUUAUGUAAUUUUUUUUCUCUAGUUGUAACUGGUAAGUGGUACAGAGACUUGAGCUUCCAAAAUUUCAACGAGGGUAGUUUGUAAUAAUCCAAUUUUAUUGGGUCACACUAAACUCUCUGCUGCUCAGUACUGCAGACUUACAUGAGUUUGAGGAUUUGAUCACCUUAUUUGCUAUUGCAUCAAGCCAUCAUGAUCAUUCAUCUAGCAGUUUGAUUAUUUUGUUAUGUGCUUAAAAUUCCAUUAUUAUGUUUAAAACUUGUGAAUGCUUAUAGAAAUAUGUUUUGAGCUUCUGGAUGAGCUAUAGUUCCUCAAAUUAUUCAAGUAAAAAAGACAUUUUCUGUCAUAUUGUAUUUGUGUCUCUGCUGCCUUGAGAUUUAUAGAUCUUAAUUCUUACUAAAAGGAUAUAGUUUGUUAGAAUUUUGUGUUGGUCACUCGCUACUCCAGGAAACUUGAAUUAAUAAUUAUGGAGUACUUCAGUAAAAUCCGCAAAGAAAAUUUAGCUGCCAACUUNNNNNNNNNNNNNNNNNNNNNNNNNNNNNNNNNNNNNNNNNNNNNNNNNNNNNNNNNNNNNNNNNNNNNNNNNNNNNNNNNNNNNNNNNNNNNNNNNNNNAAAGUUUUUGUCACCAAGCAGAUGCUCCACCUUGUUCUUAAUUUCUCCCUGCCUGAUGAUUCCACUUUCAUCUUUAUUAAAUCCCAAUCCAACUUUCCAAACAUCAAAGAUAUAGGUCUGGUUAAGGAACUGAUCAGCAAAGUAUGGCCAGCACAAGAAAGGCACUCCAUUGCUUACACCUUCCAUGGUAGAAUUCCAACCACAGUGGCUCAAAAAACAAGCUACAGAAGGAUGGCGUAGAACCUUUUCUUGGGGUGCCCAACCCACCAUUCGCCCACGAGUGCCUAUUCUUUCUUUAAAACCUUCUGGGUACGUUUCAUUGAUAUUGUCGGUCAUAUCUGGCCUCACAACCCACAGGAAUGGCCUGUUGGUUAGUUCAAGCCCUAGAGCCAAUUCUUGGAACUGUGUCUGGUCAAAUAUUGUGAAACUUCCAAAUGCAACAUAAAUGACUGAGCAGACUGGCUGUUGGUCAAGCCAUGUCAGGGAAGUUGAAUCUUCUGGCCAGAAGUAGCCUUCUUGAUUUCCAAGCUUGUUGCUUGCUAGAAGCGGACCGAUUGGCAAGAUAUUUGGAUAUAAGGUAAAUGCUGCAGGCUCAAGUUCAUAAGCUGAGUUGCAUAUUAUCCGGUCUGCUAGUUUCACAAAUUCUUUGGCUUUUACUAUAACUUCAAAAAUAAUUUUCUGUGUUUUUAAGUCACCAAUGCAGGCCCACACCAAGUUUCCUGUGUUCAUAGGAGGCAUGUUUGGUGACAAGUUAAUCAUCUGGUUCUUUAUGAUAGUUCCUGCAGUGGAAGUUUUGACAUAGAAUUUAGAUUCCAGAGUAUAUUUUAGCUUAUAUUAACAGUAUGAUUUGUUGUAAUAGCUUUGCCAAAGAGAAACAAGUACAACAACAGUUACAAGAUUCCUUUCCUACUGGUAUUUGAUUAUUUAAUGUAGCCAACUUGUACUGUUAGUUGUUACCCCUAAUUUCAAGAUCAGCUACUUCUAUGCUAUGUACACCUAUACAUACAUGUGAUAUUAACACCAGCUUAUGAUUUGCUUACCUACUAGUUGUUUCUUUUAUUUUCCCCACUGAGUUUUACUCUUGAUAAUGUUCAAUUUACUCAUGAUAGUUUGUUAAAGAAGUACUUGUGUGCUACAAUAAAAGACAUGAUAUAGCUUUACACUGUAUAGUAGAGUAAAGAGUCAAGUGACAUAUUAAGGUCUCACCAUCUUUGUUUAUGAUGUUAUCUUCAAUCAGCUUUGGGAUGCAGAAUACUGAGGCCAACAAUGCAGCUGAUGCAGGCCAGAAGGCUGCUCGCCUGAUUCCCAUCUUCUCGG
rnacentral:lncRNA from 1 species